rnacentral:rRNA from 2 species
GGACCAAGGAGUCUAGCAUGUUCGCGAGUCAUUGGGACUUAGCGAAACCUAAAGGCGUAAUGAAAGUGAAGGCCGUGCCUAGCGCGUGCCUAGGGAGGACGCGUUGGACUACGUGUGCCAGUGCCGCACUCCCGGGGCGUCUCGUGCUCAUCGCGAGCUGAGGCGCACCCAGAGCGUACAUGCUGGGACCC